rnacentral:rRNA from 1 species
UAAGACAGAGGGGGCAAGCGUUGUCCGGACUGACUGGGCGUAAAGCGCACGCAGGCGGUCACGGGCGUCGGUGCUGAAAGCGCACCGCUUAACGGUGCAAUGCGUGCCGAUACGCCGUGACUGGAGCCAUGCAGAGGUCCGUGGAAUUGCCGGUGUAGUGGUGAAAUGCGUAGAGAUCGGCAGGAACACCCAAGGGGAAGCCAGCGGACUGGGCAUGUGCUGACGCUCAUGUGCGACAGCGUGGGGAGCGAACUGGAUUAGAUACCCAGGUAGUCCACGCCGUAAACGAUGGAUGCUCGGUGUUUGGUGGGUAAUCAGUCCCGCUGGGCGCCUCAGCUAACGCGCAAGCAUCCCGCCUGGGAACUACGAGCGCAAGCUUA